GUGUCAGCCGCCGCGGUAAUACGGAGGGGGCUAGCGUUGUUCGGAAAUACUGGGCGUAAAGCGCACGUAGGCGGUGAAGUAAGUCAGAGGUGAAAUCCCAGGGCUCAACCCUGGAACUGCCUUUGAAACUGCUACACUAGAAUCUUGGAGAGGUCAGUGGAAUUCCGAGUGUAGAGGUGAAAUUCGUAGAUAUUCGGAAGAACACCAGUGGCGAAGGCGACUGACUGGACAAGUAUUGACGCUGAGGUGCGAAAGCGUGGGGAGCAAACAGGAUUAGAAACCCGUGUAGUCC
rnacentral:rRNA from 1 species